rnacentral:misc_RNA from 1 species
GGUAGAAUAAUAUUUGACAGAUGGAAUCCAUUGUUGCAGACUUCAAUUGACUGUAGUAACUCAUACUAUUCACCACCAAAACAAGCGCAUCUAGCAUAUAAUUGAUUCAGUCUGAUUUGGGAUCAUCCGUGUAACACCUCCCAGAUUCUUUUGAUGUACAAAUGCAGGGAAUUGUAUGUUAUAAUGAGCGUCAAAACGAGCUGUUUUUCCUAACUUUAAAAAUU